ACUUGAACUCCCAAUCUCAAUUCCUUCUCUCUGACUGGAGACUUCACAAAUCCAGACGAAAACCACUCCUCAAUAGUGUUUGGAGUCUGGAUUAUGGAAUUCCCUCAGGAGCUUAUUGAUCAGUUGAAGCUACUCUGGAAUUGAUUACAAGCAUGAAAUGUUCACAGAUAUUGAAAUCGGAAAACGAUUGGACAUGGGUUUUCCAAACUGGGUCUAGAUCAGUAGCUGCACACAAGGUGUUUGAUAAUAAACUAAUGAUAGUACUUCAUGCUGCGCAAGUUGAUCACUUAAUCGAGCAUAGGCACUCCUGCAGUCACACUCUCAAUGGUUGAAUUCCACCCGCUGUGAGUUAAAAAUCCUCCAAACUGAUGGGUGGUUGAGCACCUCCUCUUGCGGGCACCAACUUGCUGUUACACCUCUUUCCAUUGUUUCAGCCACGAAUGUGGGUGGUAAAAUCGCUGAUUCUCCAACAAUCAGGUCACGCCUAAUAAUCCACAAGAAGGGAAGCUUGGAAUUUGCAAGUCGCCAACCAAACUCCACAAACUGUUGUGGUGUCAUGACCACUACACUGCAAAAUUCACAUAAACAACUGUGUGUUGGUGCCUUGGACUUGAGCCAUUGGAGGCACUCAGUUUCCUCUUUCCAUAGACAGUCUAUGAUAGACUAUAUCCCAAAGGUUUCAAAGGGUCUUCUGGAAUUCGAUUGAGAAGGAAUUGGAUAGGGCCAACUGCAUAAAGAUGUGGAAGCAUACAUGAUAGAGCCUCCAAAACAUCUCGCUCCAAGGCAUCAAAAGUAUAAAGAACAACUGCUGAAGAUCUAUGUGCUCUUUCAGCUGCUUCCAUGGCACAUUGAAACGCAAUGUCUUUUUGAUCUGUAGUUUUGAACAAAGCCGGGAAGAUCUUAGUCAAAUAUUCUGGUAUGAUGGUGUCCACUGUAUGAAAGAUUGUCUAGGUACCAUCUGAUAGACAUCUCUCAUCUGAAAACAAUAAGAAAACAUUAAUUUAUUGUCAUUUUUGAUAAACAACUAUCAAGCUUUGAUCAAAUGGUAGAUAAGAUAUUUUUUUCAUGGAUUAUAGUCAACCUUUACUGGUGUAUAACCUUUUUCCAGCCGAGAACGGAAUUGUUUGAUGCCCAUGAAUCCACAGGCUGCUAUUGUGAAGAACAUAACAAUAGGAAUUCCAAGUUCUUCAGCUGCUGUGAUGGAGAAGCUCGUGAAACCAUCCACGACAUGUUGCAUGAGAACUUGAGAAGUACUGUGGGAAUUUGCUGCAUCAGGAUUGAUUUUGUCGAGGAUGUUACAAAAUGGAGACAGGAAGUUCUUAUCAAUGGAAUCAACAUUAGCUGUGAUGUCUUGUAUGGAAUCUGAAUCUGAAUUAGGUGGUAAGCCAUCUGGGAUGGCUUCAAACUGAAUGUCCGGCAAGCCAUCAAGUGAUUUGCGGUCUAAAGAUUAGAGGAUGCGUCCAUGGUUGUACUCUGUAUUCACAAAGAUCAUGCAAAAACCUCUAUGGUGCAGGAGCUUUGCAAAUUUGAGGAAUGGCUUAAUGUGACCUUGACAUGGGAAUGGUACAUAGAGCAUGAGGCGUAUAAUUAGUUUUUGCCAUGGAACCUACUGAGGUAACUGCUUAUCUCGUAUGUAUAAGCAAUUUAUACUGAUAUACAGCAUGGAAGGUUGGCUCUAAUCUCAUGUUUGCCAGAAUUUUGUUCAUUUGAAUUUGGGUUAUACUUAAUUUGAUAUUCUUUGCCAUUGUUUCAAGCAUGAUUUCCUUUUUAUUUCAGAAAUCUUUAAGAAAAUUUCAAUCAUCUAUUAAAAAUUGCUUGUUGGCUUUUUGUUGACAAGAAAUUUGAAAUUACAAUAAUAGUAAUACUUGCUAGUUGCUACACCCUCUGCUCUA